AGGCCUCUUCCGUCGGAGGCCUCUUCCGUCGCGGAUCGGCUGCUGGGCGCCGGCAUCCCUGGGCCGGCUCCUCCCGGCGGGGUGCGGGGGUGGCUGGGGUUUGCGGUGUGCUAAUGGGGUGUUUGGACCAUGAGGUUCGCUUGUGUAGCCUUUGAAAGCAGUUACUUGAGAAGACAAAACGAGGCUUUGUCUGUGGAGAGAAACUAGAAAGUACACGUAGACAACGAGCAUUUCCCGGUUGCCGCGGGUUAUUUCGAGUUAUGCACAAGUGCGUCUGGGCUGGUCACGGGUGAUGGGGUUUUGCGUCGCCAAAACAGGCUUGUAUCUCUGGUUGUAUAGAUAUCAGCUACAAGCAAGCAAACAAACAAACAAACAAAAAGCAGAUAGCUUCUUAAAUCUACUUCAUAUCAAUGCAAGAAAAGGAAGAAUUUAUCUGACAACCUUUGCUUAACAUCCGACAGUAAAACUACCGACACAUUCACUAUAUCAUAGUAGUACCUCCAGAAAAGGUGGUGUUUCCUUCUGGAGUUUAUAGAGCGUGCACGUAAGUCAGCCCAGCACGUGUUUCCCAAUCCUGUUGUUAGUUAUCUCCCAUCUGACCAGUGUGUUUUUGCAGGGUAGGUCAGGUAAGAGCAGGCGUCUGAAACGACAUAGUGUCAAAAGGAGGGUCAGGACCGAUGGUCCCCUCACUGCUUUCUUUAGCAGGAAUUCAUUACUUCUGGCUACCAUUAGGCAUAUCGUGUGUAAUUGUUUCUGUGGAAACCUCUAACAAGUUUAGCACAUAACGAAGUUACUUCUUAGUAAUAAAAUAACUAAAAUUUGCAGAAACACAAGUGUUCAAAAUGCUAGUACAGCAAAUAAUGUUGCUUUAAUGUAGUUGCUUUUAUUCAAAAGAGGGAGGUUUGAUUUUCGUAAAGUCUAAAUGCCAUUUAACGACUAGCGCAAGUUAGAAUUCUAUAGAAAAAAUAACAUGCAUUUUUAGCAUGCACUACAUUUGUGUGUUAUUCAGUGUAAAACUUGCAGCAUAUUAGUGACAUCAAGAAUUAUUCAAAUGCUGGAAAUGAGGGGACACACUUGAAAAACAUAACUGCUACUCUGUUUGGUUUUUUUUUUAGUGUCUUUGCCCAUAUCAGGUGUUUAAAGCACCAACACAGGCUCUGUGCCAAUGUGAAAGCUCCCAUUUCAGUUAGAAAUGAGUUGGAACCUGUGAUAUUUUAAUAUAUGUUGAAAUAGUAGAUAGUAAUUUCUAACUCGGGUUUUAUAAAAGGUUGUGAUUUGAUAUAUCUAGCCUACAGUUAAGUGGAUUAAGCAGGUUAUAAACAACAACAUUCAGAAGGGGCAGGACAAUGGACCCAGGAAGCCGUUGGGAAUAUGUGAAAUACCCUCUUCAUCUCCUGGCUAAUGUCAGAUGGUGAUAUUAUUUCUGCUGGGACCACUGUAUUUCUGUGUUUGUUUGCCUGACUUAACCCUUAUAUGUCUUCCAUUGGACCUGGAAGGAUCUGGGUGUUUUCGCCUCCCUUUAACUACUGUAAAAAUUGAAUGUUUGGCCCUUCUGCUGAGGGUUAGAACCUUGCUGUACCCCUGCUCCUAGCACACGAUGAGGGGAGGCAUUUCCUUACUACCAGUCCCUCAUGCACAAAGCAGGAUACAGUCUAGCCUAAUAUUUGUUAAUCCAUAAUAGCCUGCCUAAGUGCUGUAUAGUGAAAAAUAUAAUGUGUUUUUGUAUGGAUAAACCAUCUCUGUUGCUGCAAAUAUUUGCUGUUGCAAACUGUUACUGCACAAGUGUGGGAGGGUUUGCCUGAUUUGCUGCUGAUUUGUAUGGUGAGUGACAGCUUUGGACAAAAUCCAAAUCCUACAUUAAUAUUAAUUUAUUGAUGUAAAUUAAUGCAGAACAAACAAUAAUCAGCAGCUAGCUCAACAACUGUAGUAAGCUGUCCACUCUAGCCAUAGGAUUCUUAUUUUGAAGAUGCCUGAUAGACACUUGACAUCAUGUGUUGUUUAGAGAAAGGGAGUAAACUCUUUGCUGAGUUAUGCUUAUGUUAAGGAAAAAAAGUACAGAAAAUUUAUGGGCUUGAAAAGUCCUAGGGAAAAAAUUAAGUGAGGCUCUCUAAUAGCUGUUUAAUGUUUUUUGUAACAGAAGAGGAGAGGCUGUCAUUGGCAAAGAUCUGAAAAAAAUAUUCUGAGUACUAAUUCUAGUUUGAAAUAAGCAGAAGCAUGUAGCAUCAGGGUAUUUUUUAUGGAACUAUAACUAAGGGAAGUUAAUAACUAUAUAACCUGUACACUUGGUGCGUUUACUUACUUCUAUUAAUUAAAUGUACUUUGUAUUGUGUGCCCCAUUUAUUACAUUCUGUGUCAUAUUUGCUGUGGCUGCCGGGGAAGGCAAUGAAGAUGGGUGCUCAUCUAACAGGUGCUCCACUCCCUUUGUUCUUUGUAUACACAUAUUCAAAUCACAUAAGGCAGGGGACAGGAUAGGGCCUGUUAACUCAUUACUGAUUUCCCUAGCAAAUAAACCAGCUGCAGGUCCAAGCCCUGGCUUAGUGCUGAGGAGAAGGUGGCAUUUGUGUGGGACAGGAUGCUUUCAUGGAGCCCCUUAGCCAACUUCUUUUGGGACUUAGAGUGCAGAAUAUAUUUUCUACUUGUAGGUAUUUGUUCUGCCUUAAAGUUGACAGUACCAUCUCAUACCAUCUAUGGUAUUGAGGGACAACCACUUCAUCUUACUGUUGACUACAAUUUCAAUGCUACAGCUUCUGAAAUCCAGAUAAUUUGGCUUUUUGAGAGGCCUCAAAGUAAUCCAAAAUACUUGCUUGGCUCUGUAAAUCAAACAGUAGUUCCAGACUUGGAAUACCAGCACAAGUUUACCCUUGUACCACCAAAUGCAUCUUUGAUGAUCAAUCCAUUGCAUAUCAGCGAUGAGGGCAAUUAUAUUGUAAAAGUCAAUGUCCGUGGAAAUGGGACAAUAGCUGCAAGUCAAAAGAUUCAAGUAGCUGUUGAUGUUCCAGUCACAAAGCCAACUGUACAUACUGAACCAUCUUCAGGAGUAGUGGAAUAUGUAGGAAAUAUUACCCUAAAAUGUAUUCUGGGUAAAGGUACAAGGGUAACUUACCAGUGGAUGAAAAAUGGGAAGCGUCUCCAUGCUGGCCCUAAUUAUACCUUUUCAUCAAACAAUGCUACACUUCUAAUUGUUCCUGUUGUAAAAGAAGACAUUGGGAAUUACAGCUGUCUAGUAUCUAACCCUGUCAGUGCAAUGGAAAGUGAGAUAAUUGCACCAACCAUAUAUUAUGGACCUUAUGGUCUUAGAGUUAAGUCAGAUAAAGGUCUGAAUAUAGGGGCAGUGUUUACAGUUGACAUGGGAGAAGUUAUACUGUUUGACUGUUCAGCAGAUUCAAAUCCACCAAAUACUUAUUCAUGGAUUCGAAGGGAUGACAAUACCACUCACGUAAUCAAAUAUGGACCCCAUCUGGAAGUUGUAUCUGAUAAAGUGACCCAGAAGACAAUAGAUUACAUGUGCCGUGCUUUCAACAACAUGACUGGAAAACGAGAUGAAACUCACUUCACAGUCGUGGUUACUUCUGUAGGGUUGGAAAAGCUGGCCCAGAAGGGAAAAUCUUUAUCUUCACUUGCAGUAAUAACAGGAAUUUCAUUAUUUUUGAUCCUAGCUAUGACUUUUUUAUUCCUAUGGAAAAGAUAUCAGCCAUGUAAAGUGAUACAACAGAAGCUACAAAGCAGGCCAGAGGCUGAUUACAGAAAGGCACAGGCAUUUUCAGGACAUGAAAGUGCUUCAGAUGAUUUUGGGAUAUAUGAGUUUGUCGCUUUUCCUGAUCUUGCCAGUGGUUCUAGGGUUUCAAGUCAAUCUGUUCCUGGCUCUGACUUUGUCCCAGGCCAGGAUAUGCUUAAUACGGUUUAUGAAGUUAUUCAGCAUGUUCCUGACCAGCCACAACAAGACCACCAACAGUAAGUUAAAGGCUGCAUUCACUCAUGUGGUAGCUCAAAGGCAAGAACUUCAGCAUCUGGAACAAUUUAAAUUUUGGUAGCUGUUAUUUGAUUCCAUUGAGAGGGGUAAGGAAGGAAAACAGGUAAAAGCUACACCAGUUCCUCCACCAUUUCCUAUCGAAUUCCUCACUUUUCCUGAAGACACCAGUCUGUUGUUUCAUCAUGUCAGUUUUGUGUAAGUGUGAAAAAAAAGGUAAGAUCUUCAAACACUAUUUCAGACGAAAAUUCCUGCAUAAUUUAAGGUGGUAACUAUAGCUUCACAGCACUGGGACAUCAGCACUUCCUACUGAGCAGGUUAAAUAUUCAAUCAAAGCAAUUUAAUUGACAGCACAGCUUCCAGACCUGCCAGCCAUGUGUCAAGUAGAGUUAGGGUGGGCUUUUUUGCCAUGUUGAAACUGGUCAGCUGAUCACUUAUCAAUGGUUAUUAAAAUAGCCGCUGAAAUAUUAAUGAACAAUGCUUAGUUGCUUGAGUAAGCAAUGUCUUUAGAGCAAAAGAAUUUUGUUCUGCAGUACCUUGUCUGGGAACUCCACAGAAACACUUUUGCUGAGUUAAAUACCAGGAAGGCCACAGCGUGUUGUUCUUAUGUGGUUAGCGUCUGGUAGACCUGGUUUUGUUCAAGUCACCUACUGUGUAGCUCUUCUUGGCAUACGAAGAGUGGAUACACUGUAAAGUUUCUGUAAUUGCAGUACAGCUGCCAUAAAUCUUUUGUGAAUAUUGAAAGUCUUUCUUACAAAUUAAGAACAGGACACAAGACUAUUUGGUAACAAGCCUAUUAUAUCACAUUGCCCAUGUUUUUAUGAUGUGUUCUAUUUCUUUUUCGGUUGAAAAUACACACUCUCACCCAUAUACUAAUCAGUUGGCUUAAUAAUCACAAUGUUUAUGUGACUGCAUUAGCAUGCUGUACUUACAGUACAAAAAAUUUUGUGCCAGUUUUAUCUUCAACUGUGUGUCCAAAUUACAAAUGCAAACAUACAGCCAUGGUUGUAAAAACAAGUUGUGAGAAAGCAACAAUGAAUUACUAAUUAUGCUUUUGUUCUGCUUGGCAUUUUUCACUUUGAACCCUAAGAUGAUUUUUAAAGCCAGAUGUACAAAAUAGCAUUCAUAAAGUACAUAUUUUUUUAUUCUUCCCUCCUACAUGUCUUCCUUCUCAAUUCUCUCACUGAUACGUGACCCCUCUGAAAAAAGGAAUAAAUGCAACAAAAAGAUGUAUAUGAAGACAUGGGAACAGGAAAUCAAAGCAUCUGCAAGUACUUCUUUUUCUUUAUAACAUACUGAAAG